CUGUGGCUCAGUCAGCAGAGCAUGAGACUCUCAAUCUCAGGGUCGUGGGUUCAAGCCCCACAUUGGGUGAAAGA